UAGGGAAUCUUCGGCAAUGGGGGGAACCCUGACCGAGCAACGCCGCGUGAGUGAAGAAGGUUUUCGGAUCGUAAAGCUCUGUUGUUAAGGAAGAACGAGUGUGAGAAUGGAAAGUUCAUGCUGUGACGGUACUUAACCAGAAAGGGACGGCUAACUACGUGCCAGCAGCCGCGGUAAUACGUAGGUCCCGAGCGUUGUCCGGAUUUAUUGGGCGUAAAGCGAGCGCAGGCGGUUAGAAAAGUCUGAAGUGAAAGGCAGUGGCUCAACCAUUGUAGGCUUUGGAAACUGUUUAACUUGAGUGCAGAAGGGGAGAGGGGAAUUCCAUGUGUAGCGGUGAAAUGCGUGGAUAUAUGGAGGAACACCGGUGGCGAAAGCGGCUCUCUGGUCUGUAACUGACGCUGAGGCUCGAAAGCGUGGGGAGCGAACAGG
rnacentral:rRNA from 1 species